AGCCAACACGAGGCCCCAAUCAUCGGUGCAGGGAAAAUAUUGGUCGUUUAUCUUUUAUUUUCAAUUGCCGGCGCCUCGGGUUGUCGUCGUGCGAACGGAUAGGCGCUGACAGAAUUCAUUUGUGCAACUAAAAGGAUACAAAUACGCGCUGAUAUGUGAAAUUACAGUUUUGAUUGAGUUUUACUUCAAAUUUGGGCGUGUCACAGCCGUGGUUCAUUCUGUAUUGGACGUACAUCAUGCCGGAGUUGUGCCAGUAAUACAGAGCGCCCAGCACUAGCACGUGCCACCACUGAUGCGAGUGACCUAUGUAAUCCACCUUGCCAGGAAACCAGCGCUCUGGAAUCUGUAAAAUAUAAAUGAAUUAAAAACAAAAAAAUACAAAA